rnacentral:rRNA from 1 species
GCGCGAAAACUUUACAAUGCGGGAAACCGUGAUAAGGGAACUCCGAGUGUCCGUAAAUUCGGACUGUCCGUAUGUUUAAAAAGCAUACGAAGAAAGGGCCGGGCAAGACCGGUGCCAGCCGCCGCGGUAAUACCGGCGGCUCGAGUGGUGGCCACUAUUACUGGGCUUAAAGCGUUCGUAGCUUGGUUGUUAAGUCUCUUGGGAAAUCUAUCGGCUUAACCGAUAGGCGUCCAGGGGAUACUGGCAAUCUAGGGACCGGGAGAGGUGAGGGGUACUUCAGGGGUAGGAGUGAAAUCCUGUAAUCCUUGGGGGACCACCUGUGGCGAAGGCGCCUCACCAGAACGGCUCCGACAGUGAGGGACGAUAGCUGGGGGAGCAAACCG